AGUCUGGUGCCAGCAGCCGCGGUAAUUCCAGCUCCAAGAGUGUAUAUUAAAGUUGUUGCGGUGAGGAAGCUCGUAGUUUGACUUUAAGGAGCUUAAGGUACAGUACCACGAAUAUUUCUUCGUGGAUUAAGGCUGUUACCGAUAUUCUGGAUUUGAAAUGUAUUGGCAUCCUCGGAUGUUAAUUUCUUAUGUAUUACUUUGAAAAAAUUAGGGUGUUUAAAGCAGGCAUAAUUUGCCUUGAAUAUAUUAGCAUGGGAUAAUGAAAGAUGACCUAGUCCACAUUUAUAGUUGGGUUUUUAAUGGACUGGGUAAUGAUUAAUAGGGAUAAUUGGGGUCGUCUGUACUUGCGGGCGAGGGGUGAAAUCCUUAGACCCUGCAGAGACAAACAAAGGCGAAGGCAUUCGGCAAGGAUGUUUUCAUCAAUCAAGAACGAAAGUUGUGGGAUCGAAGAUGAUCAGAUACCGUCGUAGUCACAACAGUAAACUAUGUUAGCUCAGGAUUUGUGAGAGUUACAUGGAUGACUUCAUAAGGACUGUGUGCGAAAGCAAAGUAUUCAGACUCCGGGGGGAGUAUGGUCGCAAGGCUGAAACUUAAAGGAAUUGACGGAAGGGCACCACCAGGAGUGGAGCCUGCGGUUUAAUUUGACCCAACGCGGGAAAACUUACCCAGUCCAGACACAAUGAGGAUUGACAGAUUGAGAGCUCUUUCUUGAUUUUGUGGGUACCGGUGCAUGGCCGUUUUUAGUUGGUGGAGUGAUUUGUCUGGUUAAUUCUGAUAACGAACGAGACCUUCGUCUUUAAAUAGUUGCUGAAACACGAGAUUCUGUUGAGUUCUCACUUUUGUGGGAUCUCUGCAGGAUUUUCAUUAAGUUGUUUCUGAAUAUUACUUCUUAGAGGGACCACUCAUGCUCUAGUGAGGGGAAGUCGAAGGCAAAAACAGGUCUGUGAUGCCGCUAGAUGUCUGGGGCUACACGCGCGUUACACUGCCUUCUUCAACAAGCAUAUAAUUUAUCCUUACCUUAUGAGGUCUGGGUAAGCUUUGAGAUAGAGGCGUGAUGGGGAUUGUGUUUUGAAAUUAUCACACAUGAACGAGGAAUUCCUAGUAUAGGCAGGUCAUUAGCCUGUCUCGAUUACGUCCCUGCCCUUUGUACACACCGCCCGUCGCUCCUACCGAUUGAAUAGAGCGAUAAAAAUUCGAGAUUUUGUAACUAAUACUGGCCGAAAGGUUAGUAUUUCUUAUCGUUAGAACCUAUUUGAAUCUCUUAAU
rnacentral:rRNA from 1 species